rnacentral:rRNA from 1 species
GAUGAACGCUGGCGGCGUGCCUAACACAUGCAAGUCGAGCGAUUCUCUUCGGAGAAGAGCGGCGGACGGGUGAGUAACGCGUGGGUAACCUGCCUCAUACAGGGGGAUAACAGUUAGAAAUGACUGCUAAUACCGCAUAAGCGCACAGUAUCGCAUGGUACCGUGUGAAAAGCCGAGACGGUAUGAGAUGGACCCGCGUCUGAUUAGCUAGUUGGUGGGGUAACGGCCCACCAAGGCGACGAUCAGUAGCCGACCUGAGAGGGUGACCGGCCACAUUGGGACUGAGACACGGCCCAGACUCCUACGGGAGGCAGCAGUGGGGGAUAUUGCACAAUGGAGGAAACUCUGAUGCAGCAACGCCGCGUGAGGGAAGAAGGUUUUCGGAUUGUAAACCUCUGUUUUUAGUGAAGAAACAAAUGACGGUAGCUAAAGAGGAAGCCACGGCUAACUACGUG